rnacentral:tRNA from 1 species
GCAAUAGCUCAGUAGGUAGAGCACGAGACUCUUAAAUCUCAGGGUUGGGGGUUUGAGCCCCAUGUUGGGCA